ensembl:snoRNA SNORA50A small nucleolar RNA SNORA50
AAGCACCAUCUUUGAACCUGACAUGUCUUUUUCAUGGCUUCUUGGGUCAAGCAAUGGUGCUAGAUUGUAAGGACUUGUUAUAACUGGGGCUCCUCAGUUCUCAGCUGAGCUGCUCUUUUAAAAACAAGGCACAUAU